rnacentral:rRNA from 1 species
CCUGCGGAGGGAUCAUUACUGAGUUUACGCUCUACAACCCUUUGUGAACAUACCUAUAACUGUUGCUUCGGCGGGUAGGGUCUCCGUGACCCUCCCGGCCUCCCGCCCCCGGGCGGGUCGGCGCCCGCCGGAGGAUAACCAAACUCUGAUUUAACGACGUUUCUUCUGAGUGGUACAAGCAAAUAAUCAAAACUUUUAACAACGGAUCUCUUGGUUCUGGCAUCGAUGAAGAACGCAGCGAAAUGCGAUAAGUAAUGUGAAUUGCAGAAUUCAGUGAAUCAUCGAAUCUUUGAACGCACAUUGCGCCCGCCAGCAUUCUGGCGGGCAUGCCUGUUCGAGCGUCAUUUCAACCCUCAAGCUCUGCUUGGUGUUGGGGCCCUACAGCUGAUGUAGGCCCUCAAAGGUAGUGGCGGACCCUCCCGGAGCCUCCUUUGCGUAGUAACUUUACGUCUCGCACUGGGAUCCGGAGGGACUCUUGCCGUAAAACCCCCAAUUCUCCAAAGGUUGACCUCGGAUCAGGUAGGAAUACCCGCUGAACUUAAGCAUAUCAAAAA